rnacentral:rRNA from 1 species
CCUACGGGAGGCAGCAGUGGGGAAUAUUGGACAAUGGGGGCAACCCUGAUCCAGCCAUGCCGCGUGUGUGAAGAAGGCCCUCGGGUUGUAAAGCACUUUCAGUGAGGAAGAACGCCUGGUGGUUAAUACCCAUCAGGAAAGACAUCACUCACAGAAGAAGCACCGGCUAACCCCGUGCCAGCAGCCGCGGUAAUACGGAGGGUGCGAGCGUUAAUCGGAAUUACUGGGCGUAAAGCGCGCGUAGGUGGCUUGAUAAGCCGGUUGUGAAAGCCCCGGGCUCAACCUGGGAACGGCAUCCGGAACUGUCAAGCUAGAGUGCAGGAGAGGAAGGUAGAAUUCCCGGUGUAGCGGUGAAAUGCGUAGAGAUCGGGAGGAAUACCAGUGGCGAAGGCGGCCUUCUGGACUGACACUGACACUGAGGUGCGAAAGCGUGGGUAGCAAACAGGAUUAGAUACCCGGGUAGUC